UAGGGCACACACUCUCAUUUUCUCAUCUGUCUUUGUUCUAGCCACUUGUUGGCCACUGAAAGUAGCAAAUGGGAAUAAGCCAAAUAUGCUCCAACUCCCCAGGAGUGUUAGGAAUGGCAUGUGGCUAGUUCUCUUGCAAUCAUAGACCUGUGCAAUGGAAAAUGAAACUCUUUAUUUCUUUUUUCUUUUUAUUUCUUUUUCCAAAUGAAGUUUUAUUGGACACCUCUCCCAACCAGUGUGAAGUUACUAAUCAUCUCUGUCUUGGAUGAUUGAUAAUUGAUUAGGAAGGCCAUGGGGGGGGGGGGAAACAAGCACAGCCUGUCAUCUGUAAGAGCUGAAAUAGCUCCAGCCCAAUGUAGCGAUUGACUUUGCCUCAUAACCCAAGCCAGCUCCCUAUCGCCAACCCCUGAUAUGUGCUGCGCAUCAAAUCUUCCUGCUGAAUUAAACGCAACGACGCAGAAAGCGCCUCAGAAGCAUUGUAGGAGCUGAGCUUCAGUCUGCUCUUUUAUUCCCCAUUUAGAAGUGAAUUCAAUACCAUCCUUUAUACUCCACUGUGCUUAGAGGCCCAAGAAACUAUAAUUAGACGUCAUAAGAAUAAUGAUUUCAUUAAGACUUAUUGGAUGGAUUAAGUCGUGUACAAGGCAGGGUGUUGUAAGACACCGUCAAACAGUUUAUCUUUCUGCUAUAAUUGGAGUUGCAGGGAUUACAGCAAAAGAGCACCAAAAGGUAAUUUCCAAUUUGGCCAAGGCUCUCCCCAAUUCCCUCCAGGCCCAAAUUAUCAUUUUUCUUCUUUGAAUCAGAUCUCCCCCUCCAUUCUCAAGCUGCUUUGAGCUCAAAGCUAUUAACAGCAAACUCUAAUCCUCACACAUAUAGUGCUGGAGUCAUCUUUCCCUCUUUACACAAGCCCCACAUUUCCUGCUGAAUGGCAGCAGGGAUGCUAAUUCAGGUAGCAGGAAGGCAAAGGAAAGCACCCAGAGCUGAAACACAACAUAGCAAACAUUAUUUUAAAAGCCUAAUGAUAGGAUGCUUAGGCCUGAUGCAAGAACAGGCCACAAAUCAUCUGAUUCCAUAUGGAUCAGCCGGAAGCCACUUGCAAAAAAAGAAAACCUAGCUCAGAGACCCUAGCAGCAGCUCAACAUGAAACCUUUGCAAGUCAAACACUGCAAUUCUAUUAAUGUGACUAUCUCUGUCACAUUAAGAAUGAAGAAAAUAGUGGGAUGACGCUUAUCUCUGAUCUCAGAGCCUAUGGGUAUACAAAUGUCUGCAUAUAGAAGCUGAAUUGUUUGGAACCCUGCAAAAUGCAUGCGCAUGAGUCAUGCAGGGAGGCCCUAUGUGGUUAUUUUUCUAUGCACUAGGGAUGAAGUUAGCAGUGUCCGUUCUGUCAUGCAUUUCCCUGAUGAAGAGCUGAUUCCUUUCUGCUUCAGUUCAGUUUCUGCAAAACACACCAUUAUUCAACUCACGUUUCCCUAUGCUCAGAACGGUACAUACUUUUUGUUGUUAUCGUCACCUGAUUUCAUGUUAAAGUGUUUCCUGCUUCUUCUGUGUUUUAGAAUUGCAUUUUUGAAGUAAAUGAAGUAGCUAAUGACCCAUCAAGAUGCUCAGCACACUUGGACAGUUGGAGGAGAAUGGCAGUAGCACAGGCUGCAAGCGUAAAUAUGUCUACUCAGAGGCAAGACCCAUUGAAUUCAAUUGGGCUUACUUUCAGGUAAGGAGUUAAGGAUUGCAGCUUCAAUCCUAUACACAGAAGACAAGAAGGAGCAGAUAUUGACUAAUUUCAGUUGUGCCUCAUGCCUUCAGGGGGCUAAUGAUGUUUGACACAGCUAUAGAUGACAGGGGCGGGGGGGGAGAAAAGAUUUUUUGCAAGCCUUCUCUACUCAGAAAUAAAUGCCAUAGAAUUCAAUGGGGUUUAUAUCCAGUUAAGGCAGUGGUUCCCAAAAGGUGUGGUACACAUAUUUACUCAGAAGUCAGUUUCAAUGGAGCUUAUAUAGCAAAUAUAGCAAAGGGUACAAUCAACAACCAUCAUCACCUCUUCAUGACAGGAGGAGUUGAAGAAUAUGUAAAUCGUAUUUAUCUUUUCUCUGCCAUUAUAGUCUACAGAAUGCAAAUGCAAGAUUAGUAACCAUGUUAAAAUAAACAGCUAAUCAAGCUUCAUUAAUGUUAUUAAUUGCAUAUCUGUGAGGGUGGGGGUGAAUCUACUGGCAACAAAUGCAACCUCCAUUUUCACGAUCCAUUCCUGACAAUGAGCAAAUACAUGAACAGAAAAUUUUUGCACACUUUUUCUUUUCUGUUGGAAUUCUGUGACAUCCCUAAUCAUGACAUCGUCCUGUUCACUUGUGAUUCCCAAUUUCUUAGUUUAGUGAAAGUCUUACAGCAAAUUACAAAACAAGAAAUAAACAUACAGAAGGUGCAAUAUAUAACCAGGCAUCCGUUAAAAGAAUUGUCUGGGAUGAACCAUGAUGCCUAUCGGGAAGAAGAUGCAAUAAUGAGAAGUGGAGGAAUGAUGCUAAACCAUAACAGAGAGGAGAAAUAAUGAAAGAGACCAAGACUAAAGGAAUACUUUCAAUAGGAGAACAUUCAGUUCAGUCCUUAUAGUCACAGUUGAAAAUGCCUUUAGCACCAUUUCUCCAUACCUUAAUGUGCUUUUACUGACACUUUCAUCAUUGUUUAGUUAAAUAUCAUGGCUCUGUCUUGAUUUAAAAGAAAAAUAUCUCCAAAACUUUAAUUGAUGAGGAACUUGCAAAAGGCAACAGCAAGAAAUAAGUGCCAAACAUUAAGCUGCUCGGAAAUGGGACAGCAUAUUAGAAAAGAGCUUUGAUGCAGCCGUUCCAAUGAGAAAAGGAAAAGCCAACUUCAAUAAAGAGCAGUUUGUCCAUUAAAGGACGUGACAUGGGUGGAAAGAGCCACCUUUCAAUAGGAGGCAUUUAAUGUAGCCAUUUAAAGGAGGACACAAUUAGAGCUCAGUUACUCCCCUCAAAGCCAAGAGUUGCCAAAUCAGUCCACAUCGGACUUUGCUUGGCUUUAGCGUUUGAAGAUGAAUACUUCUUUGUGAAGGUUCUCAUAGCAAUAUCACAGCAUUCUAUGGCCAAAAUAUUUGAUUUUCCUGGAUAGGCUUUAAUCUCUCGCUUCUGGCAUGAGUUAUUGAGAUAGAUAGCCCUCACACUAGUUGUAUCCUAUAUUCAUGUCACCCUACAUGCAGCCUUUCUGCUUUUAGAACUUAGUUACUUUCAUCUUUAUUGAUGAUUGUCACUGUAGGUUGGUUUUUUUAUAUAUAUGAAAAAUGCGUUGAUUUUCUUUUCUUUUUUUAAAAGUUUUAUAGUACACCAUAAACAGAAGGGAAGCACAUUUACUUUCUGCUAAUGGCAAAAGUUGCAAUGAAAAUUGCUAGCAUUCUUUAUGAUUGUAUGCAGUUGUGAGAAAGUUUUAGUAACUUAUUUAUCAGUAUUUCCAAGCAAAGGCUGAUAUCCAAUGCUCUUCUCUGGGAAUUCGGGUCCUCCCUUAAAGAGGGCACAUAUUGUGGUGAGACCUAGACACCGACACCCUGUGUUGUGGGUGGGUACAAUUGGUCAGCCACAACACCCGAUUGGUGGGUCCCUCGUAGCUGGGUGCAAUCUGGCCAAUGGGACACAGUCCAAACAGUUCAAGGGAUCUAUUUAUACCCAUGCACGUGACCCAGAGCCUCCUCUUUCGGAGCAUGCACUCAGAACACCCCCCACCUCUCCCUACUUUUAGGGCUUUGUGCUUGACCUUGCUAUGCCUUCAUGUGUCACCUGUCGUUGGGACAGGGGCACGGCAGGAAUUUUCCCCACUUGGCUGAUUGGCUGUUGCCAUUUGGCUUUUGCCUGCCGCGUAGCAAAUCUUCACAACUUGUAAGGUUGCGGGUAGGCUCUGGUUCAGGUGAUAGGGAUGGGAGAAUGGUCUCGCCAUCCCUAUGGGAAGGGCAUUCCAUUAAAGGAAUCCAGGGACUCGAUGGUUUGGUCAACCCCUAAGAGGGGGUUGUGCCCGUGCCUGAGUCCAGGGGGACAUUUGUGUGGUGGAGAUAGCCUGUUCCCGGCUUUCCGCUUAUCCAGAUGUUCACCCUUGGCUGACCUAUGCUGGAACCCUGGGUCAGCACUACAGUACCUGCAUGGCAGGGAGCUAGUCGAACCACAGCCUAUGCAACUAUUCACUUUCUGUAAUCAAUAAAACUGUGGCCUAAAUUCUGCCAAAAACCAAACCCAAAAUUUGAGUCAAGUGUGAAUUUAUUUAGGGGGGAGGUUUCUGGGACUGAACAUGCAAAAGCUUUUAAUUCAGUGGAGAUGUCUGUUUAAAUGGAAGAAGGGGUGGGUGUGGGUGUGUGGGUGUUUCUUUUUUUGACAACUCCCUUUUCUGGUGUAGCUCCCUACACCUCACAAGCAACCUUGAACACUGGUCUGGUGGGUCCUGCACUUUGGUGGGGGGUGUACACAGGGGGAUUCCAUGGGGAUGGGAACUUGGGGGAAAAUGCCUCCCCUCUGCCUGUGUUACUGAUUACCUCUGCCAGUUCAAAGGUCAUUCCACCAGUGGAAUGGCAUCAUCUGAUAUUGCCUGAAAUGCCCAACUAAAUUUAAUGUUGUGCAUUAUGUUCUGUGUUUGUAGGUAAAGCUGAAUAUUUUAAGAUUAAAAAAUGUAAUGUGGAGCUGAGUUCUGACUGAAUUUUGAAGGCAAAGUAUAGUGGCCAGAGGGAAUGAAUUACCUAUGCUAAAGAUGAAUUGCCCAGACAGUGCGCAUAGUAAAUAGCAUGUCACAGCUGAAAGAUUUGGACCCAUUCCCUAGACCUAGAUGCUCAGCAGUGCAUAUGCAUGCAGUGACAAUAUUGUGUUGGGAGGAAUGGAAAAAAGAGGGGGUGCAUGGAUCCAGUCUCUUUCACUCCAAAUAUGCGAUUGGUGCAUGCCUCUUCUGCAUUAUUCUUGAAAUCUCUGUUCUAUAGGGGAAACAGUCCACACUGCCCUGGGGGCUGGAUAUGGGGAUCUAGCAAGAUGAACCACCCAUAGGAAGGCAGGGUUGGGGUUGAAAUUUGAUCCUGUUCACAUUUAAAUGGGGACUUACCUAAUUUGCAACUUGUGAAACACUAUGCAAUCCAAAACACAGCCAUUCUUUGAUUUCUCUGAAUUUUUCAGUGCAGUGCAAAUAGUGUGCACAAAAAUGCAUAUACAAGGGUGAAGAGUGUGUAAAAAUGCAGAUAUUGUUGAAAAUAACAUCUGUUAAGGAGAAUUACUUUGCAAAAAUGUGUCUAUUAGGCAGAAUUGCAUACCGAAAUGCUGAUGAACUUUCACGAGGACCUUUAAAAAAGCAAAAGGCAAAGUGAUACAUAAAUGUGGUGAAUCACACGGAAGAUUAAAAAAAAAAACUGAGACACAGAGAGAAGCCACAGUUGUCAUAUUUGUCCAUUCCAAUCCAUGAAAGAAAAAUUCUAAAGGAGGAACUCUGUAGUGGAGGUUAUGGGCAGGAUUUCAUAUUUCCUAAACUGUGCCCUCUUUCACAGCAAACUGGCAGCCUUAGAAUCCUGUUUUAUCUGAACAGCAUCUGAAACAAAGCUAUCUUCAAGGAUGCAGACAAGAUGCUGCUCAGUGGUGGAAUCAUGGAGAACGUAAGCCUUGUUCCCAAUUGAUUUAGCAUUAACAAAUCAAACCUCCAUGAAGGAUUCCAAAUUGCCAUCUGCCCAUUCCUCUCCAGCAAGCUGAUCCCCCUUCCCAGUGUGCACUACACACAUGCAAUGUGCUCUGCUAAAAGCAUUUAGAAUUGGAUACCUUCCAUCCCUAUGAGUACUUCUCUUCCCCUGAGCCAAAUCACAGAAGCAAGGAAGGAAGGAGAAAGGUGGUCACAGCAAUGACAUAUAUUUGUUUGAACUACUAAAACGAUUUCUUGCCUAUCUGCAAGGGGAAGUGACUCUAGCCUAUGGAGAGUUUAGUCCAGGGGAAGCCAACAUGGUGACCUCCAGAUGUUUUGGAGCUCCAGCCAGUAUGGCCAAUGGCUAGGAAUGGUGGGAGUUGACACAUCUCCUCUUGCCUUGAUUGAUCCUCUGAUCUGUGAUCACUGCUGCAACUGCGAUGGAUCCUCAGGACUGUGCCUGCACCACUGGUGGCUCUUGUUCCUGUGCCGGCUCCUGCAAAUGCAAAAAUUGGAAAUGUACUUCAUGCAAAAAAGAAGAAGAAAAAAAAAGCUGCUGCUCCUGUUGCCCAGCUGGAUUCAACAAAUGUGCCAAGGGUUGUGUCUGCAAAGAGCCGCUAUCAGAUAAAUGCAGCUGCUGCCACUAAAAAUGCAGUUUUCUUGAUGUAAAUAUUAUGUAUGAUAAUGGAAAAGAGACAAUUUUCCUAUUUUGUAACUGCUCUUUUGUGCAGUUGAAAGGAAGAAAAAUGUUGUUUUCAGAAAAAUAAAAGUAUUCU